rnacentral:tRNA from 1 species
GGAGAGAUGACAGAGUCCGGCUUAUUGUGCUCGCCUGGAAAGCGUGUGUACCGCAAGGUACCGAGGGUUCGAAUCCCUCUCUCUCCG